UAUCUGCGGAGGGCCUAACACAUGCAGUCGAACGCGAAAGUCCUUCGGGAUGAGUAGAGUGGCGGACGGGUGAGUAACGCGUAGGAAUCUGUCCUGUAGUGGGGGAUAACUCGGGGAAACUCGAGCUAAUACCGCAUACGCCCCAAGGGGGAAAGCGGGGGAUCUUCGGACCUCGUGCUAUCGGAGGAGCCUGCGUCGGAUUAGCUAGUUGGUAGGGUAAAGGCCUACCAAGGCGACGAUCCGUAGCUGGUCUGAGAGGAUGAUCAGCCACACCGGAACUGAGACACGGUCCGGACUCCUACGGGAGGCAGCAGUGGGGAAUAUUGCGCAAUGGGCGAAAGCCUGACGCAGCCAUGCCGCGUGUGUGAAGAAGGCCUUCGGGUUGUAAAGCACUUUCAGAGGGGAGGAAAGGGCGCUGGCUAAUAUCCAGCGCAGUUGACGCUACCCUCAGAAGAAGCACCGGCUAAUUCCGUGCCAGCAGCCGCGGUAAUACGGAAGGUGCGAGCGUUAAUCGGAAUUACUGGGCGUAAAGCGCGCGUAGGCGGCUUGGUAAGUCGGGUGUGAAAGCCCCGGGCUCAACCUGGGAACUGCAUUCGAUACUGCUGGGCUAGAGUACGAGAGAGGGGGGUGGAAUUCCAGGUGUAGCGGUGAAAUGCGUAGAGAUCUGGAGGAACACCAGUGGCGAAGGCGGCCCCCUGGUUCGAUACUGACGCUGAGGUGCGAAAGCGUGGGGAGCAAACAGGAUUAGAUACCCUGCUAGUCCACGCUGUAAACGAUGUCUGCUAGCCGUUGGGAUCCUUUGAGGUUUCGGUGGCGCAGCUAACGCGAUAAGCAGACCGCCUGGUGAGUACGGCCGCAAGGUUA
rnacentral:rRNA from 1 species